UACGUAGGGUGCAAGCGUUAAUCGGAAUUACUGGGCGUAAAGCGUGCGCAGGCGGUGAUGUAAGACCGAUGUGAAAUCCCCGGGCUUAACCUGGGAACUGCAUUGGUGACUGGCAGGCUUUGAGUGUGGCAGAGGGAGGUAGAAUUCCACGUGUAGCAGUGAAAUGCGUAGAGAUGUGGAGGAAUACCGAUGGCGAAGGCAGCCUCCUGGGCCAACACUGACGCUCAUGCACGAAAGCGUGGGGAGCAAA
rnacentral:rRNA from 1 species